AGCAGCCGCGGUAAUUCCAGCUCCAAUAGCGUAUAUUAAAGUUGUUGCAGUUAAAAAGCUCGUAGUUGAAUUUCGGGAUUGGCGCAUCGGUCGUGCCUUACGGGGUAUGAACUGGUGCAGUCAAUUUCUCACCUUCUGGAGAACCGCGAUGUCCUUAAUUGGGUGCCGCGGGGAACCAGGACCUUUACUUUGAAAAAAUUAGAGUGUUUAAAGCAGGCAUUUUUGCUUGAAUACAUUAGCAUGGAAUAAUAAAAUAGGACGGCAUGGUUCUAUUUUGUUGGUUUCUAGGACCACCGUAAUGAUUAAUAGGGAUAGUUGGGGGCAUUAGUAUUCAAUUGUCAGAGGUGAAAUUCUUGGAUUUAUUGAAGACUAACUACUGCGGAAGCAUUUGCCAAGGAUGUUUUCAUUAAUCAAGAACGAAAGUUAGGGGAUCGAAGACGAUCAGAUACCGUCGUAGUCUUAACCAUAAACUAUGCCGACUAGGAAUCAGACGAUGUUAAUUUUUUAAUGACUCGUUUGG
rnacentral:rRNA from 1 species